rnacentral:tRNA from 1 species
GCCGGGUUGGCGAAACUGGUAGCCGCGCCUGCCUCCUAAGCAGGUGGUGCCACUCACCUUAAGGGUUCGAAACCUUGUGCGGAGAUCCCUUACCCGGCG